AACGCACCUUGCGCUCGCUGGUAUUCCGGCGAGCAUGCCUGUUUGAGUGUCAUGAACUCUUCAACCCUUCAGUUCCUUGUUGAACUGCAAGGUGUUUGGAUCUUGAGCGUUUUGCUGGCUACUCUCUUUGUUGAAAGUGGCGAAGCUCGUUCGUAAUAUAUUAGCAUCUCAAUUUCGAAAAUAUCGGAUUGACUCGGCGUAAUAGACUUUUAUUCGCUGAGGAUACCUUUUUAAGGUGGCCGAAUUUCGGGGUAGAAGCUUCAAAUACCAAUUGAAGUCAUUCCUUUAAGAUUAGACCUCAAAUCAGGCAGGACUACCCGCUGAACUUAA
rnacentral:rRNA from 1 species